rnacentral:lncRNA from 1 species
AGCUACAUCCGUCACCUGACACGGCCCUACCAGGAACAGCCGCGCUCCCGCGGAUUCUGGUGCUGCUCGCGUCCCCGCUCCCCUAUUCCCCUUAUUUUAUUCCUGGCUCCCCUCGUCGAAAGUCUUCCAUUCUUCAAACUAGAUUAUUUAAAAAUGAAAAAGGAAGAAAGGAAAGCGAGGUCAUCUCAUUGCUCUAUCCGCCAAUCAGGAGGCUGAAUGUCAGUUUUGAACUAAAAGCCGCUCCGCUCCUCUUCUAGAUUUGGAAAACAAGCGAAAUUAAACUAAACCGCUGCACGCCUCUGACGCGACAUCUGGACACGGCGCGGCGCUGGCGCUGCCGGAGCUGUCGACCCGGCCUGGCGCCGGACUAGUGUCCCUUUUGAUGAGAAGAAUAAGCCUCAUUCUGAUUCAACAGCAGAGAUCAAAGAAAAGACUUCUGUUUUCUGGCCACCAGAUAUAUGUUAUCUGUGCUUAAAGAAUUGAAAAACACACAUCAAAGGAGAAUUUUCUUGGAAAGAGAGGGUUCAAGCAUCACUGUUAGGUGUGCUGGAAUCCUUUCCCGAGUCAGUACUGCUUUCUAGAAGAAAACCGGGGAGAUCUAUUUGGAAUGUAUCUAACUCCAAAGAAACCAUCAGAGGUAACAGUAGAGACGGGGUUUCACCAUGUUGGCCAGACUGGUCUUGAACUCUCGACCUCGUGAUUCGCCCGCCUCGGCCUCCCAAAGUGCUGGGAUUACAGGUGUGAGACACCACACCCGGCGGAUAGAGAGAAUUUUGACAGUAUCUUACAGACAGCAAGUUGAACAUUGUGGGAUGCAUGAGCUAUUGAGGCCUUUGCAGCUUUCUGCUACAUGGAGGCUAGGGCCAGAGUCAAGAUUUAUGCUUUGCAGCACACUGGUCAGCUGUUUUUGCAAAUCAGAUUAAAUGAUUUUUAAAUGAGGCUGAGAGCAUGGGAGAUACUAAUGUGUGUUUCCUUGUGAGCUACUGCAUAAGUUAGGAAAUUGAAAUACAGAAAGAUGAAAAGUGAUUUGCCCAAGCAUAUAGAUCAAAGCUGUGGCAGAACCAGGACUGGAACCUAUAUCUCUCUACUAAUGGUUUUUUUAAAAAAAUAACCUUGUUUCAAAAAUAUUAAAAAGUCACAAGAAAGGUAAACAUGUGGAUAAACAAAAUGAAGAAAAUAAAAAUUAUCCAGUAAUAACAUAUUGGCAUAUGUCUUUCUGGUAUAUUUUCCUGUGUUGUCAUCAUUAUCAUCUCCAUCAUCAUUAUAUCCAUCAUUAUCAUCAUCAUCAUCAUCAUCAUCAUCAUUAUCAUCACCAUAGUGAACAUGUAAUGCUUACCUAGUGCCAGAUGCUGUCUAGGCAUUUUACAUGUGUUACUGGUAACUCAUGUAAUCCUCAUAACAACCUUAUAAGGUGGUUGCUAUUAUCCCCAUGUUACAUAUGAAGAGACAGAAGCAUAAAGAAGUUGCACCGCUGGUAAUUGGCUGGGAUUUGAACUUAAGCAGUCUAACCUUAGAGUAAUGAUUUUAACAACUAUGCUAUAUACAUACAAAUUUACAAAAUAAAACUGGGCUCAGACAAUAAAAA